rnacentral:piRNA from 1 species
UUCAGAAUUGAAGGCGCUAAGGACUGA